rnacentral:rRNA from 1 species
UAGAGUUUGAUCCUGGCUCAGGAUGAACGCUAGCUACAGGCUUAACACAUGCAAGUCGAGGGGCAGCAUGAAGUUUGCUUGCAAACUUUGAUGGCGACCGGCGCACGGGUGAGUAACGCGUAUCCAACCUGCCCCCUACCCGGGAAUAGCCCAGCGAAAGCUGGAUUAAUGCCCGAUGCAUUCCUUUGAGAGCAUUCGAUGAGGAAUAAAGGAUUCCGGUAGGGGAUGGGGAUGCGUCUGAUUAGGUAGAUGGCGGGGUAACGGCCCACCAUGCCUACGAUCAGUAGGGGUUCUGAGAGGAAGGUCCCCCACAUUGGAACUGAGACACGGUCCAAACUCCUACGGGAGGCAGCAGUGAGGAAUAUUGGUCAAUGGGCGAGAGCCUGAACCAGCCAAGUAGCGUGCAGGAUGACGGCCCUACGGGUUGUAAACUGCUUUUAUGAAGGAAUAAUGAGGGUCACGCGUGGCCCGUUGCAUGUACUUCAUGAAUAAGGACCGGCUAAUUCCGUGCCAGCAGCCGCGGUAAUACGGAAGGUCCGGGCGUUAUCCGGAUUUAUUGGGUUUAAAGGGAGCGUAGGCCGCCCCGUAAGCGUGUUGUGAAAAGCCGUGGCUCAACCAUGGUCGUGCAGCGCGAACUGCGGGGCUUGAGUGUGCGGAAAGUGGGCGGAAUUCGUGGUGUAGCGGUGAAAUGCUUAGAUAUCACGAAGAACUCCGAUUGCGAAGGCAGCUCACUGUAGCAUUACUGACGCUGAAGUUCGAAAGUGCGGGUAUCGAACAGGAUUAGAUACCCUGGUAGUCCGCACGGUAAACGAUGGAUGCUCGCUGUUCGCCCUCCGGGGCGUGUGGCCAAGCGAAAGCGUUAAGCAUCCCACCUGGGGAGUACGCCGGCAACGGUGAAACUCAAAGGAAUUGACGGGGGCCCGCACAAGCGGAGGAACAUGUGGUUUAAUUCGAUGAUACGCGAGGAACCUUACCCGGGCUUGAACUGCAGGGGAACGAAUCAGAGAUGAUGAGGCCCUUCGGGGCUCCUGCGGAGGUGCUGCAUGGUUGUCGUCAGCUCGUGCCGUGAGGUGUCGGCUUAAGUGCCAUAACGAGCGCAACCCCUGUCUUCAGUUGCCAUCAGGUUAAGCUGGGCACUCUGUAGAUACUGCCACCGCAAGGUGUGAGGAAGGUGGGGAUGACGUCAAAUCAGCACGGCCCUUACGUCCGGGGCUACACACGUGUUACAAUGGCGCAUACAGAAGGCAGGCCGCCGGCAACGUCGGCCGAAUCGUUAAAAUGCGUCUCAGUUCGGAUUGGGGUCUGCAACCCGACCCCAUGAAGCUGGAUUCGCUAGUAAUCGCGCAUCAGCCACGGCGCGGUGAAUACGUUCCCGGGCCUUGCACACACCGCCCGUCAAG